GAUGAACGCUGGCGGCGUGCCUAAUACAUGCCAGUCGAGCGAACAGAUGAGGAGCUUGCUCCUCUGACGUUAGCGGCGGACGGGUGAGUAACACGUGGAUAACCUACCUAUAAGACUGGGAUAACUUCGGGAAACCGGAGCUAAUACCGGAUAAUAUAUUGAACCGCAUGGUUCAAUAGUGAAAGACGGUUUUGCUGUCACUUAUUGAUGGAUCCGCGCCGCAUUAGCUAGUUGGUAAGGUAACGGCUUACCAAGGCAACGAUGCGUAGCCGACCUGAGAGGGUGAUCGGCCACACUGGAACUGAGACACGGUCCAGACUCCUACGGGAGGCAGCAGUAGGGAAUCUUCCGCAAUGGGCGAAAGCCUGACGGAGCAACGCCGCGUGAGUGAUGAAGGUCUUCGGAUCGUAAAACUCUGUUAUUAGGGAAGAACAAAUGUGUAAGUAACUAUGCACGUCUUGACGGUACCUAAUCAGAAAGCCACGGCUAACUACGUG
rnacentral:rRNA from 1 species